GAACCUGUCCCUGGAGUCUGAUAAAGAUCCAUGGACUGCCGGUGGAGCUGCAUAGCGGAGGGCUUGCUUAGUGUUCACCAGGCCCUAGGUUUGGCUGUAAGCAGCGCCACAAGACAGACAAAACUCAUAACCAAACCAGGACUUAAUGCCUGCUCUGAUUGAGCCAUGCAAAAUCUUUGGUUGUUCUGCCACUGUUUCUCCAGCCUUUUGGAUCCAGGGAAGCUAAAUGGUAACUCCCUCCUUUCUCUAAGGACAACGUAAAAGUUCUCAUGUUUUGCAAGUCGCCCCAGGGUUGCUGGGUUGAUGAAGGUCGAUUGUCAAAGAGCAGAUGGAUGGAUUCACUGAGAGAGUAAGAAGGGGCUGCAAGGAGCUCUUCCAAUUACCGGAUGCCCCUUCUGCCUACCUUUUGCAUUCUAUUUAUUUAGAAAAAGCGGUUAAAAACCCUUCUACGUUAUUCUUUUAAGAGGGCAGAAGACAUGAAAACCGCUUGAACCGAAACAGAAAACACUAAAGGCACAGCUCUUGGCCACACAGAAAAAGGAACCUGAGAGAGAACCUUAUUCCGACAGACGAGCAUUUCGGACACUUCCCCAAAGACCGCACUGGGACAGACGUAGUCCUUACGUCUCGGUGGGGCAUUCUACUCUCACAUCACCCCCCCCCCCACGCGCAGGACGGCAGUGGAUCAGUCCACGGGUCUCUUCCCCCUCGUGGAAGUGGGUCAGUUCCCCCAGUCCCCAGUCCCCCGCAGGAUGUGCGGGAUUUCUUUUAAGCUGUUACCGACUCACCUUUGAUCUUGCCUUUUCGCCACCGCCUGCGACUGCGGUUCUUCGAUCCUUCUUUGCCCUGCUUGGAGGCCUGGGCCCCCACGGGCGCCGAUUCCACGGCCGGCUCCAUCAAUUCUUUCCAGUCCUGGCGCGGGGCCCAAUUCCAGCGAUCAAGUUCCUCUCUUAGAGUCAAUCCUAGUUACACACCACUGCCAGGCCCCCAAACCAUCCAAUCCUGGGCAGGCUCCUCGCGGAGCUCCGCCUUUAAUGGGUGGGGCUGAAGGUCUUGGCCCGCCCAUCUGCUCAGAUUAAAGGAACCGCGCAGUGCACCGUAACGACAAACAAAAAACCAAAAACCAAAAACCAAAAAAAAACCCGCAGUCCUGGAAGCAGCGAGAAGUGCCCUCACAGCAGGAAUAGUGAGGAGUCGCGUUAGAGUCACCCCAACAAAGAAUUCUCAGUCAUCUUGUGCAGAAUCAAAGGAAAGGGGAAGACAGCAACACCGCCGGCCUCAGGGUUGAUCUACAGAAAGGAGCGACUGGGUCCUAUGGCUGUUACCUGCCAUUGCUUCGGAGAGGCGGCAAGGAAGAAGCGCCACAGCUCACCAGCACUUCACUACGCUGUUUCCAUUCCGCCUGGAUCUUGCCACAGACCUCUGCAGCCCUAUCCAGGCCCUGCUCCCAAGCUUCUCUACCCCAUGAAAUCUAGUCAUUCCACGGCGCUGAGGCCCUGUAGAGGCACCGGGCGGCAGAGGUGAGACCGUCUCGAAGCAGAGGCUGUGAAUGGCCUGGAUGUUCGGCUAGUCUACACACACUUGCCAAGUGAGGCAGAUGUGUAAUCAAGGAAUGGCAUAUACUUCGUAAGCCUCGAGGUGCAAUGCAGUCAGCGCUCUACGGUUGUGGAUGUUCACUGGGGACUGAAAUGGUGAUUAGAUACUGCUACCUGCUGAGAGGCCCUGGAGCUAUUUGGGAGACUACACCCUAUCCUGCACGUCAUCACCUGCAGCUGGUUCCAGACUCCAAGUUCCAAGAUGCCUUCCAGGCUAAAACCCGGACAUGUGAGCCACUGGCAGGCCCCAACAAUUACACGAACCAACGUGGAACCUGGGAAAGGCAGAGGACAUUUGGAAGAAGCACUGCUGGUUUGGAGCUCCAUGGAAGAAGAAAAGAAUUAAAGAAAACCCGUACUGGAGAAGCAUGUGCAAAGUCAGUAUCGUGAGGAGUAUCCUGCCCAAGCAGGCUGAUCCAUCUUUGCACUGGAAUGCCCACUAGCAGCAACUUGUCUGGUGUCUGGGUAUCCUUUGGGCCCUGUGUACUCGGUUUGUACUAUCUCAAAACUCAGACUUUGGCUGCUAAAAACAUGUUCCCAGGUUUAGGCAUUUGAGGGUGUCACUACCUCAUGUUGGAGGCAGAUGGCUCUGAGAAGCUCUUCAGUCUUCUCUCCAAAGCAGUGAAAACUGCAGAGCAGUGCACCAACCCGAAACAUUUGCAUUAUUGCCCCUGAACUAUUCAAGAAAUGCUUUGACUCUCACUGUGUGAUGAUAGAGCCCAUCUUGGAGUCUCUUCUGGGUCCCCCGAUUCCAUGAUCCCACUAGGAACACAGGAAGAUGAAGUAAAACCGAGGAAACUGUGUAGGAUUGGGAUGUGUGCCCGACAGCCUGAGGCACAGGAAGUCCUGGGAUACAGUGAUCCUCCGAGGGCUCAGUGACACUGGAAAUAUUAGGGGUGUCACCAUUUUGAUGAUGUUGCUAGCCAGGUUAAUGGCCAGGUCACAUGGUCACCCUUAUCUUAAUGAAGGCAUCAGUCAAGAUGGCAACAAAGC